UACAGAGGUGGCAAGCGUUGUUCGGAAUUACUGGGCGUAAAGCGUGCGCAGGCGGUUGUGCAAGACAGGUGUGAAAUCCCCGGGCUUAACCUGGGAACUGCACUUGUGACUGCACAGCUGGAGUACGGCAGAGGGGGAUGGAAUUCCGCGUGUAGCAGUGAAAUGCGUAGAUAUGCGGAGGAACACCGAUGGCGAAGGCAGUCCCCUGGGCCUGUACUGACGCUCAUGCACGAAAGCGUGGGGAGCAAACAGG
rnacentral:rRNA from 1 species